rnacentral:rRNA from 1 species
UACGAAGGGGGCUAGCGUUGCUCGGAAUGACUGGGCGUAAAGGGCGUGUAGGCGGUUUGUACAGUCAGAUGUGAAAUCCCCGGGCUUAACCUGGGAGCUGCAUUUGAUACGUGCAGACUAGAGUGUGAGAGAGGGUUGUGGAAUUCCCAGUGUAGAGGUGAAAUUCGUAGAUAUUGGGAAGAACACCGGUGGCGAAGGCGGCAACCUGGCUCAUGACUGACGCUGAGGCGCGAAAGCGUGGGGAGCAAACAGG